rnacentral:sRNA from 1 species
AGCCUAAAACCAUUGGCCAACCGUCAGGCAACUGCCAGUAAAAAUAUUUUCCGAGAAGACCCAAUAAUAGCGAUGGUACUAAAUGCAACAAAAAUAUUUAAAUAUGAAUCCUCAGAAAAUGAGCAAAGAAGAAUGUUUCAUGCUACAGUGGCUACGCAGACACAGUUCUUUCAUGUGAAGGUUUUAAACAUCAACUUGAAGAGGAAAUUCAUUAAAAAGAGAAUCAUCAUUAUAUCAAAUUAUUCCAAACGUAAUAGUCUCCUAGAGGUGAAUGAAGCCUCUUCUGUAUCUGAAGCUGGUCCUGACCAAACGUUUGAGGUUCCAAAGGACAUCAUCAGAAGAGCAAAGAAAAUUCCGAAGAUCAAUAUUCUUCACAAACAAACUUCAGGAUAUAUUGUAUAUGGAUUAUUUAUGCUACAUAUGAAAAUUGUAAAUAGGAAGACGACAAUCUAUGAAAUUCAGGAUAAAACAGGAAGUAUGGCUGUAGUAGGAAAAGGAGAAUGCCACAAUAUCCCCUGUGAAAAAGGAGAUAAGCUUCGACUCUUCUGCUUUCGACUGAGAAAGAGGGAAAAUAUGUCAAAACUGAUGUCAGAAAUGCAUAGUUUCAUCCAGAUACAGAAAAAUACAAACCAGAGAAGUCAUGACUCCAGGAGCAUGGCACUACCCCAGGAACAGAGUCAGCAUCCAAAACCUUCAGAGGCCAGCACAACCCUACCUGAAAGCCAUCUCAAGACUCCUCAGAUGCCACCAACAACCCCAUCCAGCAGUUCCUUCACCAAGGUACAAUAUCCUGGGUCCCAUGCCUCUUAUCUCCCAAAUAUAAAUUACAAGGAUCAUUAGACUGUUGAAAGAGUUUCUCUUCUAAUCCCUAACUGUGUACAAUCUCUAGAUAAAAUUAAAUCACCCAUGUAUUUAUUGAAUGCAUACAGUGAGAUACUACCACAUGAUAGUCUUUGCUAUCUAAAAGAUAUUUAUUUGUGCAAUGAUUGCUGACCACAAGAGGGCUAGUAUCUUGUGUUGCUCCACCUAUGGGAGGGGAAAUGGCCAGAGAAGUAGAGAUGAAGACAAAGAGUGUGUUAUGACCCACAUUCCAAUUUCUUUCACAACUUUCCCCUUUGCUUAUUGGUAU